UAGUGAGUUUGAUCCUGGCUCAGAUUGAACGCUGGCGGCAUGCUUUACACAUGCAAGUCGAACGGCAGCGCGGGGCAACCUGGCGGCGAGUGGCGAACGGGUGAGUAAUAUAUCGGAACGUACCCAGAAGUGGGGAUAACGUAGCGAAAGUUACGCUAAUACCGCAUACGAUCUACGGAUGAAAGUGGGGGAUCGCAAGACCUCAUGCUCCUGGAGCGGCCGAUAUCUGAUUAGCUAGUUGGUGGGGUAAAAGCCUACCAAGGCAUCGAUCAGUAGCUGGUCUGAGAGGACGAUCAGCCACG
rnacentral:rRNA from 1 species